rnacentral:tRNA from 1 species
GUGGGUGUAGCUCAACUGGUUAGAGCACCUGAUUGUGGUUCAGGAGGCUGUGGGUUCAAGUCCCAUCACUCACC